rnacentral:rRNA from 1 species
CCCUUAGAUGUUCUGGGCCGCACGCGCGCUACACUGAUGCAUUCAACGAGUCUAAAACCUGGUCUGAUAGGGCUGGGUAAUCUUUUGAAAGUGCAUCGUGAUUGGGAUAGAUGAUUGCAAUUCUUCAUCUUCAACGAGGAAUGCCUAGUAAACGCAAGUCAUCAGCUUGCAUUGAUUACGUCCCUGCCCUUUGUACACACCGCCCGUCGCUCCUACCGAUUGAAUGAUCCGAUGAAUACCGUGGAUUGAGUGUUCGAAUGGGUUCUCUCAUUUCAGCAUCCCUGAGAAGCGGAGUAAAUCUUAUCAUUUAGAGGAAGGAGAAGUCGUAACA